rnacentral:rRNA from 1 species
GACGAGUGGCGGACGGGUGAGUAAUGUCUGGGAAACUGCCUGAUGGAGGGGGAUAACUACUGGAAACGGUAGCUAAUACCGCAUAACGUCGCAAGACCAAAGAGGGGGACCUUCGGGCCUCUUGCCAUCGGAUGUGCCCAGAUGGGAUUAGCUAGUAGGUGGGGUAACGGCUCACCUAGGCGACGAUCCCUAGCUGGUCUGAGAGGAUGACCAGCCACACUGGAACUGAGACACGGUCCAGACUCCUACGGGAGGCAGCAGUGGGGAAUAUUGCACAAUGGGCGCAAGCCUGAUGCAGCCAUGCCGCGUGUAUGAAGAAGGCCUUCGGGUUGUAAAGUACUUUCAGCGGGGAGGAAGGUGUUGAGGUUAAUAACCUCGUCAAUUGACGUUACCCGCAGAAGAAGCACCGGCUAACUCCGUGCCAGCAGCCGCGGUAAUACGGAGGGUGCAAGCGUUAAUCGGAAUUACUGGGCGUAAAGCGCACGCAGG